rnacentral:lncRNA from 1 species
AAACAGUAGCUUAGAAUAGGUCUGCAAUCAGGACCCCAAAACCUCCUUUGCUGUUGCCAAAAGUGUGCAGGUAACCCGAGUUUAUCAAUGGAUUCCAUAAUGUGGGCAUCACCAUUGAGUCUUCCUCAACAUGCAGCAAACUUUAGAUCAUCUUUUGUGAUCUUGUUCCAAAAAGAUGACUCAGUUUGUUCGUCCUUUUUAUCAAGGUUCGAACAAAUUGUUACCGCUUUACAUAGUUGUUCCCAUUAAGAUUUGAGACGUAAACCAGGUUAACUGUGCUGCUUCUCUCCUAUUGCAAUGUUGAUGACUUCAUUUGUUGUUGUCAGAUUUAAGAGCUG